rnacentral:rRNA from 1 species
UGGUGGAGUGAUUUGUCUGGUUAAUUCCGUUAACGAACGAGACCUUAACCUGCUAAUUAGUUUCCCCCAUUCCAUGGGCGAAACUUCUUAGAGGGACUAUGUUGCGAUGAGCACAUGGAAGUUUGAGGCAAUAACA